GCGGGGGUCGCCCAGCCAGGUCAAAGGCGCAGGGCUUAGGACCCUGUUUCGUAGGAAUUCGUGCGUUCGAAUCGCACCUCCCGCACCA
rnacentral:tRNA from 1 species